UUGAACGCUGGCGGCAUGCCUUACACAUGCAAGUCGAACGGUAGAGGGGCAACCCUUGAGAGUGGCGAACGGGUGAGUAAUACAUCGGAACGUGCCCAGUCGUGGGGGAUAACGCAGCGAAAGCUGCGCUAAUACCGCAUACGAUCUAUGGAUGAAAGCGGGGGAUCGCAAGACCUCGCGCGAUUGGAGCGGCCGAUAUCAGAUUAGGUAGUUGGUGGGGUAAAAGCCCACCAAGCCGACGAUCUGUAGCU
rnacentral:rRNA from 1 species